rnacentral:rRNA from 1 species
UAGGGAAUCUUCCGCAAUGGACGCACGCCUGACGGAGCAACGCCGCGUGAGUGAAGAAGGAUUUCGGUUCGUAAAACUCUGUUGUUAGAGAAGAACAGCGCAUAGAGUAACUGUUAUGCGUGUGACGGUAUCUAACCAGAAAGCCACGGCUAACUACGUGCCAGCAGCCGCGGUAAUACGUAGGUGGCAAGCGUUGUCCGGCUUUAUUGGGCGUAAAGCGAGCGCAGGCGGUCAAUUAAGUCUGAUGUGAAAGCCCCCGGCUCAACCAGGGAGGGUCGAUGGAAACUGGUAGACUUGAGUGCAGGAGGGGAGGGAGGAAUUCCAUGUGUAGCGGUGAAAUGCGUAGAUAUAUGGAGGAACACCAGUGGGGAAGGCGACUCUCUGGUCUGUAACUGACGCGGAGGCUCGAAAGCGUGGGUAGCAAAAAGG